ensembl:snRNA U6 U6 spliceosomal RNA
GUCGUCACUUGGAUGGCACAUAUAUUAAAAUUGGAAUGAUACACAGAAGAUUAGCAUGGCCCUUGCACAAGGAUGACAUACAAAUUCCUGAGGCAUUCCAUUAAAAU